UCCUAACCAUUUCUAAGAAAUUGAGCAACUGUCAUUAACAUACUGCAAUGUGUUUACAAAUGAUUUGGAUGAUAACAAGCCUCCCCAAUUGAAACUGGUGGAUCAGAUAAGGAACUAUUGAGAAUUCUCUUUGCAAUCCAUAGGUUAGCUGCAUCAGAGUAGUGUAUGCCAUCCCAGCUAAUGUGCAUUGAUGGAUUGUGGCAUGGGUUACCAUAUACUGUUCCAUUAACUGUGGCUCUCUGCCCACAAUUAAUAUGGUACCCAUAGAAACUCCCACAGCAGAAUUCAAAUGGAUCAACAAAACCUGUCAUCGCCAAACAGCUAAGAUUAGAAACAUAGUAUAUUGCAAUGUUUAGUGGAUCACUAUCCCACCGCCACCCAUACGUGGCCAUAUCCGAACAGGCCAAAUAAAAGGUCUUAAGCAGUGCAUAAAAGCUCACACUUAUGUUUGUAAAAUAAAUUAAGAUUACCUUCAUUCUUUGCAUUGCUAAUGAGAGCAUAUUUAGCUGAAUACACAUCAACAUAUGUAAAUGCUGCAUUAGGAAGCUGUGCCCUCAGCUGAUACACCAUGUCCUUAAGCUGCCUGUUGAACUCCUGAGCUACCUCAUUCUGAGGCUUCACACACCCAAUCUGGUCCAGAUUACCUGACUUUGAUUGGUAUAUAACAGUAUAUGGCAAGCAACCAAUUGGGCCAGUAUUAUGUACCCAAAAUACUCUUGCACCUUCCUUGUAUAAUAGCUAAAACAUGAGCCCUAAAAAAUGUUAGAAUUAUCAAUUAGUACAUAUAUUGUUCUAGCAUAAUCAUCAGUUGCUUACAUGCACUGCUUGGGACCACUGGCUUAAGAUAUUAGGAAUGGACAGUCGAACUUCUUCUAUUGUUGUGUGUUGAAAACCAAAACCAAGAUCGUUCUGUCCAAUAUCAAAUGUGUAAAUAGCCUUUGAGAAGUCCUUAGGCCUUGAGAGCCGUGUUUUAAGUAGUGGGGUCUCUCCUGGUGCCAAAAUUUACCAAUUCAAUGUUCAUUGUUAGUAAGCGUUUAGUACCCACAAAAUGUUGUGUUUCCCAGCAUCUUUAGCACACAAGAACCAGUCAGUGAGAGAGGGCUAGAGAGACUCACUACUGUUGGGGCUGAGUUGAUUAUAUAGAGCAGUUGUACGAGAUUUGAAUUGUAUGAACUGGGAUGUUUGAAUGCCAAGAUGGAAUGGACUAUAACCACCUGGGCGAAUUGAUGAACCACCUGUUGCAAAAUUUGCACCAUGCCUAAAAUUUGUACCUAGUGAGUCCAAGUAUGCACUCAGGUACGGUAACUUCAGCUCCUUAGCU